UUUUUUUUUUUUUUUUUUUUUUUACAGCUGCACCUAGGGCAUGUGGAAGUUCCCAGGCUAGGGGUCAAAUUGGAGCUGGAGCUGCUGGCCUACACCACAGCCACAGCAAUGCAGGAUUCGAGCUGCUCCUGCGACCUACACCACAGCUCUUAGCAAUGACAGAUCCUUAACCCACUGAGCGAGGUCAGGGAUCAAAUUCACAUCCUCACGGAUACUAGUUGGGCUCAUUACUGCUGAGCCACAACAGGAACUCCCUGAAAUUUUUUUUUGUCAUUUGUCUUUUUAGGGCCACACCCACGGCACAUGGAAGUUCCCAGGCUAAGGGUCAAAUUGGAGAUACAGCUGCCAGCCUACGCCACAGCCACAGCAACACCAGAUUCAAGCCGCAUCUUCGACCUACACCACAGCUCAUGGCAACGCCAGAUCCUUUAACCCACUGAGCGAGGCCAGGGAUUGAACCUGCAACCUCAUGGUUCCUAGUCGGAUUCGUUUCUGUCGUGCCGUGAUGGGAACUCCUGGAAAUGUUUUAAUCUCAUUGUUUACACAUAGCCGUCCAGUUUCCCCAGUAUCACUUAUGGAAGAUGUUGUGUUUUUGCCACUGUAGCAAACAUUUCUCUGAACAGGCUUAACAUAGUGGAAUAUCUUUGGAGCUAUUCUAGAAUCUACAUCUGUUUUGACUGAUUCUGUUCAGAUACUCAGCCCCUUGGAGCUCAUUCUCUUAGGACCAAUGGAUCCCUACAAAGCUACAGGCUAGGGGUCUAAGUGGAGCUACAGCUGCUGGCCCACACCACAGCCACAACCACAACCACACAAUGCAGGAUCCAAGCCCCGUCUGCAACCUACACCGCAGCUCAUGCCAACGCUGGAUCCUUAACCCACUGAUUGAGGCCAGGGAUCGAACCCGUAUCUUUAGGGGUCCUAGUCAGGUUCCUUAACUGCUGAGCCACAAAGGGAACUCCUAUCACUUCUUGUUUUUAAACCAUUUUGCUUUUAAAAACACAACAUGGGAGGUGAAUAAGGAUAGCAGUUUUUGCCAAGAGGAAAGGGUAUUUGUUGGAAAGCAUUCAUGGCAGGGCUAUCCUGAGGGGUGUUAAAUCUGUGUGUUUUCAGACAUAUGUUUAGCAUACCUUUUCCCUUCUGCUCUCUCACCGGUGCCCUGGGGGCUGUCUUCUCUUUUCCAGCCCACACAGAAGCAGAAACAAAGACUUGAAAAGAGCUGCUGGACUAACCUGCCAAGAGAGAUCCGAUGCAUGCUUAUGUUGAGCAGUUUUCCAGCCCCAAAGGUAAGGUGAACCUGGAGCUCAGGGAAAGAGAAGUGGAAGAAAGACGACAGACUCUAGUGUUUCAACUGGGGAGCAGCCGACACCCAGGUUUGGUGAGGAUUAGGGAUGGAGUGAGUAGUUGGUCCUUCGCACCCCAAUCCAUCUGCUGCUUGUGCACAGCCCUCUGUCCUAUGCUCCUGGUUCCCUGCAAGCUCCUGAACAGGAAUUUUGUCCCUGAGGGUGAGGAAUUUUGGCUACCUUGUGUGGGAAGGGGUGAUUAAAUGAAAACUUCAGCCCUGGUCAAGGAGGAACAGUUUGGAACCAGUCAGAUUUCCCCUUGACCCAAAGGAACCAUGGAAAUGCUCCCAUCGUUACAGACUUCAGAGUGAACCGAGCUGGUUUGCUCACCUGUAUAGAAAAAUGAUAUAUUUCACCUGAAUUUUAAGCUCUGUGUCUGGUAGUUCUAGAGGACCUAAUCUCUCAAUUGGAAAUGUUAGUUUUAUUGAUUCAAGUGAACUAAAAAAUAUGUCACCCGGGGAAUGUAUUAGUUCAGUAAUUUUGAUGUUCUCUUUGCUCUGAAUGCAACAUUGGUCACUGCACGGAGCUUCAGGGUUGACUGUCUGAUCUGGGUCUUUCUGUGGAUGAUGAUAGUUGCACUAACCAAUACCAGUUUUCCAGUGGUCAACUAGUGAUUUCACUGAAAACUCAGCAGUCCAAGUCUGGCUCCAAAUGACGUGUUCCAACCUCAAAUUCAUGCUUGAUUGCUUUUGUAGAAUUAAUUAUAAACAGAUACACUAUCAACAAGUCAGCAACCAGUAUGGACUGAAUCAACUGGGGAUUAAAAAAUUAUGGGGGGGGGGAGUUCCCAUCGUGGCACAGUGGUUAAUGAAUCUGACUAGGAACCAUGAGGUUGCAGGUUCGUUUCCACCGUGCCACAAUGGUAACUCCUAUAUAUAUAUUUUUUCAUUUCUUUUUUGGGAUGCACCUGUGACAUAUGGAAGUUCCCAGGCUAGGAGUCAACUCAGAGCUGUAUCCACAGCAACACCAGACCUGAGGUGCAUCUUAGACCUAUGCCGCAGCUUGUGGCAACACUGGAUCUCUAAGCCACUGAGCAAGGCCAGGGAUUGAACCCACAUCCUCAUGGACACCAUGUCAGGUUCUUAACCCACUGAGCCACAUUGGAAACUCCCCAUCAUCAUCUAAGCACUGUUGAGGAGUCCAUCCCAGGGAAAGAAAUCAUGUUUCUAUUAGGAAGGGGAAAGGGCUCUGCAAAAGCAGUAAAGAUUCAGUGCAAUCAUCAUCAUUUCAUGAAUUUGUAAUUGAGCAGGACACAGUGGGGCCUUCCUGGGACAGACCCCUCCCCCAUACCCUCUGCUGUAGCUCCUCUCUGACGUACCUAGAAAAUGGUAUCUGAUACACAUCUACUGAGUUGUUUUACAGAUGUUAAAACCCCCACUGAAUGGGAGAAAUGAACACAUCCCC
rnacentral:lncRNA from 1 species